GCUUCCCCCUGCCACUUCCUUCCCCGCAGGCACCAGGCACCCGGGCAGGGCAGCGCCCCCCACCAGCAGAUACCCAGGGUGCUCACCGGCCGACCUGCGGGGAAACUCAAGGCCUUGCCCAGGGGGAGGGCCGUCCCGAGGCGCCCGUUGGCGCAGACAGCUGAUGGGGCUGGUAAGCGCCGAGCCCACCGGGGGUUCCCCGCAUGUUGUGGGCCCAGCUCCCACUCCCCACCUCCCACCCAGAGGGCCUCGCCCCGGGGCCCCCACCCCACUGGCGUUUUGACACCUUAUCACUUGUCUGAUUUGGCAACCCUACUUUCCCCACUCAAGCCUAGAGCCGAAAGGCAGAGAAGUGCCCGGCUGGCAAGCUUAAGCAAUGUGCAGAAAAAAAGAAGAAAAAAAACCGUUUGCCUUGGGUUGGCUCUGCACCCACUGGGUGCUCAGGGCCCACGGGUUCGGGUGGAGCUGUUCCACGGCGCCCUCACUCCAUGCACCCCAGGCCCGGCUAUGUGCACAAUCCACCCCCCAGCCCUGCCCCGCCCCAGGGACUAACCCUUUCGCUGCAGCGAGCAGGAAAGAAGCGCCAAAGGGGUCAGCCUGGGCAAAUGGAAGCUCAGGCACUUCCUCAAACUGAAAGCAAGCGAGAGCG
rnacentral:lncRNA from 1 species